CUGGUGGGAGGGGAGGUGCGGUGGACUGGGGGGAUGGGUGGCUGGGGUGACCGACUAAUGGCUUGUGGGGGUUGCCUUUCCCUCGGGAACAUAAUGUUUGGGAACAUAAUGUUUGAUACAGUGGAAGAGAAAGGGGUGGUUGGAUGCGGGCGGGAGGGAGGCCCGCCCUGCGGCAACCGGAGCGGGAGGGAGAAGGGAGCGGAACAUGGCUCAAAACCGGACGGAGCCAUUGCUCUCGCAGAGGGAGGAGCGCUUCCGGCUUGCCUCUUGUCUCUGAUUGGCCGCUUGUCCUCCCGCCGUGUGUGAAAACACAAAUGGCGUAUUCUCGUUGGAGUAAAGCGCUUGUCAGUUACAGCGUGGGGAGUGCGCAGCCGCCUAGCGACCCUCGCCUUGCCCCCUGGGUGGGGCGGGUAGGUAGAUGGGGUGGGGAGACGCUGGGUGUGCGGGCGCGGCCGGCUUCCCGCGGCGGGAGGGGAGGGUUAGUGAAAGUUGCUCCGGCGUGGGCGUCCUCUCUCACCCUCCCCUUCCUUCGGGGGAGUCGGUUUACCCGCCGCCUGCUUGCCUUCGACACCUGAUUGGAUGCCGAAGCUGGGGGACCGGGCUCAUGCUACUGGCUCGAGUCCCACAUGAGCGAAACCACUGCGCGGGGGUGGCGGGGAGGCGGGUAUUGGUACGGUCCUCCACGAGGCCCAGCGCCGCAGUGUCUGGCCCCGCGCCCCUGCGCAACGUGGCAGGAAGCGCGCGCUGGAGGCGGGGGCGGGCUGCCGGCAGAGACUUAUGGAUGGCGGCGGCCGCGGUUCCGCCCCUGGUGCCCGCUGCCUGAAGGGCGAGACAGGCCCGACUUGCUACGGGCACUCGUGGGGGUGGGGGAGGAGCGGGGGUCGGUUCGGCUGGUUUGUAGGUGGGAGGCGCAUGUUCUCCAACUACCGGCGCGAACUGCAAUCCUGAGGGAGCUGCGGUGGAGGAGGCGGAGAGAAGGCCGCACCCUUCUGUGCAGGGGGCGGGGAGUGCCGCAAUACCUUUAAGAGAGUUCUCUGCUGCCUCUGGUCUUCUAAGGACCGCCCUGGGCCUGGAAGAAUCCCUCCCUCCGCCCUCCCAGCCCCCCUUUCAUCUCGUCAUCGCCUCCAAGUCGAGUCGCUUCUCGAUUCUGGGCGGGAUUCUUUUGCCUAGACUUAAAGAGGCUAGCUUGCUACCAGGGCGUUGCCCUGCAGCGGAGUGAGCAGGUGUAAGAUUUGAGGGGCGAGGCGGAUUAUGUUCCCACGGACUUGAGUUGAUGUGGAGGUUAUUGUAAUAAGGGUGGGGUAGGGAAAGAGAGCCUAGGCAUUCACCUGGGGCUGAUUUUAUGCAACGAGACUGUAGAUUAUCACUACUUAAGAUCGUUUUUGGAGUAUUUUUCUAGAAAUAGAGAUAAAUUAAGGCAUGAUCACCUGAGUUUUACACCAUUUGAGAGCCUUGCUGCACUACCAAAGUUAUAACCUCAGAUUAAAUCUAAAUGGAAAAAUUUUAGCCUUUGCUUCAGAAACCAGUGCUUCCCUCCCUCCACCUCUCUCCCCAGGCUCUCCCCUCUGCAUCCCUACCGGGCAUCUUAGCAACUCUCACUCAUACAUUGAUCCCAUUUUCCAUUUGUUGUACUUGCUUAUCCAGUAUUCAGAUAUACCGCUGGCUUUCUCUCUCUCUUGAUCUUGGGUAGCCUGGUGAUUCAUGAAACCAGACAGAUUGGUUCCACCACAAAUUAAAGCUUGAGCUGGAGCUUGACUCUUACCCAUCAGCGCUUUUAUUCCUCCCUACUUUACGUUCUUGAAUGUUUACCUUGGUUUUAAUUUUAUCCUUUUUCCUUUGCUGGGAUUCUACCCCGGUCCUCUUCACAGUCCAGGUAAUCUUGACUACUGCUUUACAGAGAAUUUGACCUGAGGUUAGGUAGCACCUCCCUUUCUCUUCCUUGAAAUACCUCUCGAGCCAUCCCUUCAUUUCUGGUCUCAUCAGUAACUGAGCUCAGAUGCCAGUAUGAUAGCUUUCAAAUUGCUGUCUCUGUUUAGUGUUAUCUUCUGAUCCAUCUUACAUCUUGUCAGGAAGAUUGUCUUGAAGGAAGAUAGAGCAUGAAAAUGUCAGAUGAAACUCCAUUACUGGUUUGUAUUGUAAUGGAGUAAAACUCUUUUACUUGCUUGUAUAUUUCAACAUUCCUUGUAAAAGGAAAACCUGAAAUUUACAGCAAAUUGUUCAAACCGCGGGUCGCAUGGGACCUAAGAUGGCUUUGCGGUACAACAGAGAUUCGUAAACUUUCUUAAAAUGUUAGAUUUUUUUGCGGGUGUUUUGUUUUUUGGGGGGCUCAUCAGCCAUCCUUUAUGUGUGGCCCAAGGCAGUUCUUGCAGUGUGGCCCAGGAGAGCCAAAAGGUUGGACACCCCUGGUUUAUAGGAUAAAUUCUGCCUUUGUGAUUGUGAUGCACAAGUUCCCUGGAUAGACUUAACUCAAUUUAACAGCUUUUUCAUUUUCACCGUUUUCCACUUAUUACACAAACAUUACCUCUCUCCUGAAGUCACAUGGAAUACUUUGCAGUUACCCAAAUCAGAGAGGCAUUGUCAGUGGGGUGGUUCUUUCUGGAAUGCUACCCUUGCUGCUUCUGAUCCUGCAGAUUCAAAUGUCAUCCCCUCUCCCCUUUGGUCAUGCCUUUCACGGUCUGUUGUCCUAUGAGCAAAACUCUCCUAUUAAAAAAGGAGUUUUCUCCUGACUUCUGAGCAUGACUCAGUAUUUCUCAGGUUGUUGUCAUUGAUGAUUUAAAUUAUCGUAACUAUUCUGAGCUUUAUGAGGGGACAGUUUCUUGUAUCUUGUAUUCCUGAGCUCCUGGUAUACUCUAAUGUCUAGCCAACCCUAAGUAAAUGGAGUAAGCGACAUGUAAAUGUCUUUACAGUUUGAUAUUUUAUUCAUCUUGAGCAUUGGAAAAGUGGCUGGUAGGAAUAAAGAACUGAAAUUUUAUUUUUUAUCUAAUUUAAAUUGCAACUAUGGACAGUAUAGCUGUAGCCACAGACUUGUUCUUUGGAUUACAGAAUACAUGGACAUUGAUUGUUUUCUCUUUGUACUGAGCAGUAAGGAAAUAAAACCUGAAGCUCUUUGGCCCAUUACAUUUUAUUUAACUGCUUUUUUUAAUUUUACUUUUUAUGUAUUUAGCUGAAAGCUAAAUCCAACCAUUUUUAAAGAUGUGCCUGCCUUGGACAACAAUGUGUUGAGAAAAGUGUUAAUGAGUUUGGAUUUCAAAGGAAAAAAAAAGCAUAAUGAAUUUUAGGGACGUGAGAUUCCAUUGAACUGUGACAGGAGUUACAUAAUUAAAUAUAACAACUUUAAUGAGGAAUGGGUCUCUCUGAUAUAAAUGAACCCAGCCCUAAAUUUUAGUCCUAUACGUUUUCUCUUCUGGGAAACACUUGAUUGGAGGAGCCAUAAGCAUCAUGUCUUCUGUUACAGAAAACAGUAACUAAGUUUUAUCCUGAGGAAUUAUAAAUUAAUACCAACAUUUUAACACCAAAUGCUUUUUAUGUGCUAAUCUUACACAUUUUAAUAAUUUAUUUUUGAGAUGGAGUCUUACCCUGUCACUCAGUCUGGAGUGCAAUAGCAUGAUCAUGACUCACGCAGCCUUGACUUCUUGGGCUCAAGUGAUCCUCCUGCCUCAGCCUCCUGAGUAGCUGGGACUACAGGCACAUGCUUCCAUGCCCAAUUUUUGUGGUUUGUUUUUUUUGGUAGAGAUGGGGUUUUCCUGUGCUGAGCAGGUUGGAACUCCUGGGCUCAAGUUACCUUCCUGUCUAAGCCUCCCAAAGUCCUGGGACUACAGGCAUGAGUCACUGCCCUGGGCCAUUGAAUAUCCUUUUAAAAAUACAUUUUAAUUUAAAGUUUCUCUUUAGAGAAUAAGACCCUUGGUCAGUGGUCUUCAAACUUCCUGUGUGCAGAGACAGUUAGUUGUCUUACUUAAUACAGAUUCCCAGACCAUGGAAGAUGCUGAAUUCUUUUGGGGAAGGUGGAACCCCACUGGGCAGGCUGUGUAAUUUGGUAUCUUUUCAAGUUCAUUUGCUUACUCAGAACCCCAGGGCUAUAGUAUCCCUAUUUACCUGCCAAAAAUGAUUAAAAUUUCGGAGAAAUUCUUCUCAGUUGUACGGUACAUGUCCCUCAAUUUAUUUUCUCAAAUGAACUGUUUUUUCCUCCCCCUAAAAAAAUAACAGAAUGGGAAAACAUUUUGAAAGGCAAAGAGGAAUAGUAAUUAAUAUUUUUGGAAACUUGUAGGUCAGGUUUGUUUUUUUUUUUAACAAGGAAUGUUGAAAUAUAUUUUCAAACAAGAGAAGUUCACCUUAUUUUUUGUUUCUCCUGCUUAAUUGCAGUCCUUAAGGAAAGCGAUUUUUCACUCCUCAGUGCCAAGCACAGAGCUGGGAGCUCAAAACAUGUUAGUUUUGUUGGUUUAUAUGUGAAAUUGAUUCUCAAGUAAUAGUUAAGCUCACAAAACAUAUCAACAAGCUUCCUUUUCAGGAGAGACUUCAGGGUCCAUUUAACCUACUUCAAGUCUCCUAAUAUUCUAUUCAUAGAGGAAACUGAUGCCUCCUCGUCUCUGAAUACAUUUAUCCCAUCAUUCACUUCUUUGGGUUUCCUGUACUAACCAUUGCAAUUAGCCUCUUCCUAUGCUAUACUUCCUUGGGCUUUUUGUUUAAAUUAACCAGCUACCUAUCUCCUUUCCAAGUAGUUACAUACUACUUACUACACUUACAAGACAAAUUUAUUAGGUAUAUUACACACUUGUACUUGCAUGAGAAAGCUGGUGAAGGUUUUGAGGUCUAGUGUGUGUGUGUGAGAUUUGCAAAAGUUAAACUAGAUAGGUUACUUCCAUAUAUUUUUUGUGAAUGGGGGCUUGGUGUAAUUAUAUAAUUCUGUUUUGCAACACUAGUUUGACUGUUAAGUUAGUUGUAGAGCACCUUGUUAGGUUGCAAAUCCAGAAGUCUGGUGGCGUUGGACUUUGCAGGUUGCUAAUUUAGUGGCAUGGUAGUUUAUAUUAGAGGGCAUACUUCUCAAGAAGACUUUUUUUCUUGUCCAUGACUCUGCGUUCUUGAGAUUAGAUAAUAUAUUGGAUUAUUAGAGAAGUUGUUAGUGAGCAUUGAAUCAAAUAGUUGUUUUAUCUAGACCAGGGUUAAACCUAAUGAAUUCUUUCUGUUCUGUUAUGGAGUGUACUUUCUUAGUGACAAGAAAGACUUCCUGCCUCUUUUUAUCUCAGUCAUGGUUACAUUUAAUAAUCCUGCUUUCCAGCUUUUUCCUAGAGCUCAGUCAUCAGUCACUUUUCGUUUUCUGUUUUUUUUUUUUUUUUUUUUUUUUUUUUUUUUUAAUACUUAUGUAACAUUGGCUUUUCCUACUAACAUCGUUUUAAAUCAUGUUUACAGAAUUGGUUAUUUCAUCACCUAUCUCACCUCUAGUUUAUGGAUUCUGGUAAACUCAGUCAAAAGUCUUUACAGCCUUUUCUCUUUUUACUGACAUUGAUUUAAAAUUGAAUUUCAGACUGAGGUAUUGCCUACUAUAAUAAUGGUAACAUACUCUAGUGAAUACUAUAGGCAAAGAAAUGAACUAAUAAUAGUUAUUGAAUGCCUUUUGUGCACAAGACACCUGUAACUGCAGGUGUGGUAGAAAUAGCAAGAGAACUGGAAGUAGAGGGUUGAAGAAGUGACUGAAUUGCUGCAAUCCUCAUGAUCAAGUUUGAAUGGAUGAGGAGUUGCUUCUUAGGGAUGAGCGAAGAAAGUGGUUUCCUGAUAUGGAAUCUACUGGUGCAGUUGCUGUGAACAUUGUUAAAAUGACAACAAACUAUUUCGGAUAUAACAGAAACCUAGUUGAUAAAGCAGUGCCAGGGUGUGAGAGAGUUGACUUUAAUUUUUAAGUAAGUUCUACUGACUGGGUGUGGUUGUUCACACCUGUAAUCCUAGCACUUUGGGAGACUGAGGCAGGCAGGUGGAUGGAUCACUUGAGGCCAGGAGUUCAAGACCAGCCUGGCCAACGUGGUGAAACCCCGUCUCUACCAAAAUUAGCCAGGUGUGGUAGUGCACUCCUGUAGUCCUACCUACUUGGGAGGCUGAGGCAGGAGAAUCUCUUGAACCUGGGAGGCACAGGUUGCAGUGAGCCAAGAUGGCGCCACUGCACUCCAGUCUGGGGGACAGAGAGCUUGUCUCAAAAACAAAAAAGAAAAAAAAAGUUCGGUGGGUAAAAUGCUAUCAUGCUAUCAAACAGAUGAAGUCUUGUGAAAGGAAGUCAGUGUAGCAAACUUUAUUCUUAAGAAAUUGCCACAGCCAUCCCAAUCUUCAACAGGCACCGCCCUAAUGAGUUAAUAGCCAUCAUUAACAUUGAUGCAGGACCCUCCAGCAGCAAAAAGAUUGUUAGCAUUUUUUAGCAGUGGAGUAUUUAUUAAUUACACAUAAUACUAUUGUUUACUUUUAAAACUGUGGUAUAGUGUAACCAAUGCAGGACCCUUCAGCAGCAAAAAGAUUGUUAGCAUUUUUUAGCAGUGGAGUAUUUAUCAAUUACACAUAAUACUAUUGUUUACUUUUAAAACUAUGGUAUAGUGGAACCGUAACUUAAACGAUGCAUUGGGAAACCAACAAAUUCAUGAGACUUUAUUGUAGUGCUCUGGGAUUGAGCCUGCAGUGUUUUUGAGGUAUACUUCUUGUAUUUAUUAUGUUCCUUAUAUAUAAAACCCCAUUUUACAGAGUAGGAAACUAAGGCUCAGAGUUUGAGCAAUUUUCCCAUAGAAAACAGUAAAUUGAGGGCUAGGGAUUGAAACUCAGGUGUGAGUGAUGAUUUGUAUUCCUAACUAGCUUGUAUACCUUUAUCUGAUGGAAACAUUCUUUUAGGGAGUUUAAUCUGGCUGUAGGAUAUAGGAUAGGUUGUAGGGAUGGAGAGAUUUGAAAGCAGAGAGACCACUUAGGUGGUUGGUACUCUUACAGUAGUGUAGACAUCAGGUAAUGAAAUUUGGCUUAACAGCAACAACAGAAGGAAGUUAAAGGAUUCAGGAACCAAAUGUCAGUUAUUGAGUAGAGAGAAUGGUCUCAAAACAUCACUUCUCAAGGAGGCCUUCCUUGAUACCCUCACCCCUACUAUACUGUAUCCUCCAUUUGAAUGUUGUCAAAAGCUCUUCUCAUAAUUGUAAUUUUGUUUCUUUCCCCUACUUUAGGUUGCUCCUUGACAGCAGGACAAUGCUUAUGGCUUUAUCCGUUGCCUAAGCUCAGAGAGGUCUGCGAGGUCAAAACUAUUUUCAUGAUAGCAAGAUGCUUCCCUUUUUCACUCAUUCUCUCAGUGUUCAGAGGCUCCAUGAUGUGUGAUGACAUCGUCAUUGAUGUUAAUGAAUGGUGCUAUACUUGAAUUCUCUAAGGUGUGGUUAGGUAGGUUUAGGUAUGCAUACUUUUUAAAAUUAGUUUUUUCCCCUUUUCUCAUUUUUAGAAAUAACUCACUAGGUUAUGCCUUCAGUAAUCUUUGCAACCUGAAUAUUAUAGUUUUCGUGCCUAAGCAUGAACAUAAGAAGUACAUUUUGUUGUGUUGUUUGCAGUGGUUUAAAUAUUUUCCUAAAAUACCCAAAAUUAAAAAUUUUACAACUUUAGAAUUUAAUAACUAUUCUAAAAUAAAUCUAUAUUUUUCUCAUUUAAGAAUGGA